AUGUCUCCAACAUCGAUGGCCACCAUUGUCUUCUCCGCCAUUAUCUUCAUGCUACUUUUCUUUACCACGACGGCUCAAGCCGGUGGAUCUGGUGGCGGCAAGCCCAGGGCGACCAACCUCGUGGUAGAAGUGUGCAAGACCGCCACAUUCAAGUACCCAUAUGGAGGUCAUGACAUAGAGGAAUUCUGUUUAACGACCCUCCAGUCGGACAAGCGAAGCACUGAGGCUAAGGACCUCCGUGACCUACAGCUAGUCACCGUCGACAUCCUUAGGGGUCGAGUCACUACUACCAGCGGCAAGGUCAAGAAAAUGUUGGAAAACAUCAAGAAGGGCACUCUGCCAAUGCGCAUCCUCAGUUUGUGUGAGGUGGAUUAUGACACCGUGGUGAGCGUCAUCAACAAAUAUGAUGCCAUGAUCAGGGAUUACCAAGGUGACGAGGGAGGGCUACGGUCCAUACAGCUAGUCCGUUGGAUGGGUAUUGCACGUGACCAUGUCGACGAGUGCAACUCCGAGCUUGUUGACAUGCCUGCGACGGGGGCUCUUGUCAAUGAAAACAAUGAAUUGGGCAUGCUGGUUAAACUGAACACCGCCUUGGGGGCACCAUAG
rnacentral:rRNA from 1 species